GAUGAACGCUGGCGGCGUGCUUAACACAUGCAAGUCGAACGAGAAAGCACCUUCGGGUGUGAGUAGAGUGGCGAACGGGUGAGUAACACGUGAGCAACCUGCCUCUCACUUCGGAAUAACUCAGGGAAACCUGUGCUAAUACCGGAUACUCCGUACAUUCCGCAUGCUAUGUACGGGAAAGCCUUGUGCGGUGAGAGAUGGGCUCGCGGCCCAUUAGGUAGUUGGUGGGGUAACGGCCUACCAAGCCGACGAUGGGUAGCCGGGUUGAGAGACCGACCGGCCACAUUGGGACUGAGACACGGCCCAGACUCCUACGGGAGGCAGCAGUGGGGAAUUUUGCGCAAUGGGGGAAACCCUGACGCAGCAACGCCGCGUGCGGGAUGAAGGCCUUCGGGUUGUAAACCGCUUUCAGUAGGGAAGAAAAUGACGGUACCUACAGAAGAAGCUCCGGC
rnacentral:rRNA from 1 species